rnacentral:rRNA from 1 species
AAAUUGAAGAGUUUGAUCAUGGCUCAGAUUGAACGCUGGCGGCAGGCCUAACACAUGCAAGUCGAACGGUAACAGGAAGCAGCUUGCUGCUUCGCUGACGAGUGGCGGACGGGUGAGUAAUGUCUGGGAAACUGCCUGAUGGAGGGGGAUAACUACUGGAAACGGUGGCUAAUACCGCAUAACGUCGCAAGACCAAAGAGGGGGGCCUUCGGGCCUCUUGCCAUCAGAUGUGCCCAGAUGGGAUUAGCUGGUUGGUGAGGUAACGGCUCACCAAGGCGACGAUCCCUAGCUGGUCUGAGAGGAUGACCAGCCACACUGGAACUGAGACACGGUCCAGACUCCUACGGGAGGCAGCAGUGGGGAAUAUUGCACAAUGGGCGCAAGCCUGAUGCAGCCAUGCCGCGUGUAUGAAGAAGGCCUUCGGGUUGUAAAGUACUUUCAGCGGGGAGGAAGGUGUUGUGGUUAAUAACUGCAGCAAUUGACGUUACCCGCAGAAGAAGCACCGGCUAACUCCGU